rnacentral:lncRNA from 1 species
GGAAGGGGAUCCGAGCGGGUUGCCCUGAGGUUGGGGUCUUAAGCACAGGAGGCGGGUCAAGGCAAAAGGAGUAAUGCAACGCCUGUGAAGCCAGCCCCACGCGCGCACCAGUCGCGUAAGACAACAGCAGUGUCUCCACCUCGGGGACCAAGGACGCCUCCGUGCCUCCAGACCCCGCCUCCUCCAGCCCCUGCACCUGUCAUUUAUUCUUCCACUGCCCAAUAAAUAUUCAUGGCAGACUUUA